CCACUGUGGACAGUGUUCACCAGGUGUUCCACGUGACCUUAGGCAAGCGAUCUGAAGCAGCCAGAUGGAAGGCGAAUCCAGCUGGAUGAGAAGAUUUUGAU